UCUGGAGGCAGGGGAUACCUGUUCUUCCCUUCUCCUUCCCGCCUGCCCCUCUGGACAUACGUAUCUACUGACAAAAAGGGAGCUGUGUUCUGUGCAGUUUGGCAGAGUGAAUCUUCGGUAGAAAGUCUGACCUGUGUGACUGGUGCUCUGAGGAAUGAAAUGGUGAACAGACUGGAAUGACCCUGGGACACUUGCCGUCCACACAGCUGGAACAGCUAGCAUCGGACCCCUGUAGUUCUCAACAGUGACUGCAUACUGGAACUACCAAGGAAGCUUUAAAACAAUACCAGUGCUGAGUCGGCUCCUCUUUUUCCAGAGAAACUGGGGGCCCCCUCCCCCCUCCUUCAGAGACAUCUGCUC